CCUACGGGAGGCAGCAGUGGGGAAUAUUGCGCAAUGGACGCAACUCUUACCCAGCAAUGCCGCGUGAAUGACGAAGGUCUUCGGAUUGUAAAGUUCUUUAAUUGGGGACGAAAAAAAUGACUGUACCCAAGGAAUAAGCCCCGGCUAACUACGUGCCAGAAACCGCGGUAAUACGGGGGAUGCGCGAGUAAUCGGGAUUGAUUGGGUUAAAAGGGUGCGUCGGCUGACUGGAAAGUCAGCGGUAAAAUCAAGAGGCGCAAGCUCUUUCCGCCGUUGAAACUGUCGGUCUUGAGUGGGCGAGAAGUAUGCGGAAUGCGUGGUGUAGGGGUGAAAUGCAUAGAUAUCAAGAAGAACUCCGGUGGCGAAGGCAGCAUACCGGCGCCUGACUGACGCUGAGGCACGAAAGCGUGGGUAGCGAACAGGAUUAGAUACCCGAGUAGUC
rnacentral:rRNA from 1 species